rnacentral:rRNA from 1 species
AGAGUUUGAUCCUGGCUCAGGACGAACGCUGGCGGCGUGCUUAACACAUGCAAGUCGAACGAAGAGCGAUGGAAGCUUGCUUCUAUCAAUCUUAGUGGCGAACGGGUGAGUAACGCGUAAUCAACCUGCCCUUCAGAGGGGGACAACAGUUGGAAACGACUGCUAAUACCGCAUACGAUCCAACCUCGGCAUCGAGGAUGGAUGAAAGGUGGCCUCUAUUUAUAAGCUAUCACUGAAGGAGGGGAUUGCGUCUGAUUAGCUAGUUGGAGGGGUAACGGCCCACCAAGGCAACGAUCAGUAGCCGGUCUGAGAGGAUGAACGGCCACAUUGGGACUGAGACACGGCCCAGACUCCUACGGGAGGCAGCAGUGGGGAAUCUUCCGCAAUGGACGAAAGUCUGACGGAGCAACGCCGCGUGAGUGAUGACGGCCUUCGGGUUGUAAAGCUCUGUUAAUCGGGACGAAAGGUCCUCUUGCGAAUAGUUAGAGGAAUUGACGGUACCGGAAUAGAAAGCCACGGCUAACUACGUGCCAGCAGCCGCGGUAAUACGUAGGUGGCAAGCGUUGUCCGGAAUUAUUGGGCGUAAAGCGCGCGCAGGCGGAUCAGUCAGUCUGUCUUAAAAGUUCGGGGCUUAACCCCGUGAUGGGAUGGAAACUGCUGAUCUAGAGUAUCGGAGAGGAAAGUGGAAUUCCUAGUGUAGCGGUGAAAUGCGUAGAUAUUAGGAAGAACACCAGUGGCGAAGGCGACUUUCUGGACGAAAACUGACGCUGAGGCGCGAAAGCCAGGGGAGCGAACGGGAUUAGAUACCCCAGUAGUCCUGGCCGUAAAC